GACGAACGCUGGCGGCGUGCUUAACACAUGCAAGUCGAACGGAAAGGCCCUUCGGGGUACUCGAGUGGCGAACGGGUGAGUAACACGUGGGUGAUCUGCCCUGCACUUUGGGAUAAGCCUGGGAAACUGGGUCUAAUACCGAAUAGGACCACGCGCUUCAUGGUGUGUGGUGGAAAGCUUUUGCGGUGUGGGAUGGGCCCGCGGCCUAUCAGCUUGUUGGUGGGGUAAUGGCCUACCAGGGCGACGACGGGUAGCCGGCCUGAGAGGGUGACCGGCCACACUGGGACUGAGAUACGGCCCAGACUCCUACGGGAGGCAGCAGUGGGGAAUAUUGCACAAUGGGCGCAAGCCUGAUGCAGCGACGCCGCGUGAGGGAUGACGGCCUUCGGGUUGUAAACCUCUUUCAAUAGGGACGAAGCGCAAGUGACGGUACCUAUAGAAGAAGCACCGGCCAACUACGUG
rnacentral:rRNA from 1 species